GGCGGGGGCGGGGGCGCGGCGCCAGGGGCGUUCUUACCUGCCCCCAGGUUAAAGGAGAUCCUGGCCUCUGCGAGAGAUGCGGUCUCAGUAUGUUGUCCAGGCUGAUCUCAGAUCCUUGGCCUCAAAGGAUCCUCCUGUCUGGGUCUCUCAAACUGCUGGGAAUACAAGCAUGAGCCACCACAGCUGACGAACAGCUAUUUUUGAAUAAAGUAAAGGAAGAGAGGGAGGGAGAGAAGAAGGAAGAAG
rnacentral:lncRNA from 1 species